rnacentral:rRNA from 1 species
AGAGUUUGAUCAUGGCUCAGAACGAACGCUGGCGGCAGGCCUAACACAUGCAAGUCGAGCGCGCCCUUCGGGGUGAGCGGCGGACGGGUUAGUAACGCGUGGGAAUAUGCCCAAAGGUACGGAAUAGCCUCUGGAAACGGAGAGUAAUACCGUAUGUGCCCUUCGGGGGAAAGAUUUAUCGCCUUUGGAUUAGCCCGCGUUAGAUUAGGUAGUUGGUGGGGUAAUGGCCUACCAAGCCUACGAUCUAUAGCUGGUUUUAGAGGAUGAUCAGCAACACUGGGACUGAGACACGGCCCAGACUCCUACGGGAGGCAGCAGUGGGGAAUCUUGGACAAUGGGGGCAACCCUGAUCCAGCCAUGCCGCGUGAGUGAUGAAGGCCUUAGGGUCGUAAAGCUCUUUCGCCUGUGAAGAUAAUGACGGUAGCAGGUAAAGAAACCCCGGCUAACUCCGUGCCAGCAGCCGCGGUAAUACGGAGGGGGUUAGCGUUGUUCGGAAUUACUGGGCGUAAAGCGCACGUAGGCGGAUCGGAAAGUUGGGGGUGAAAUCCCGGGGCUCAACCCCGGAACUGCCUCCAAAACUAUCGGUCUAGAGUUCGAGAGAGGUGAGUGGAAUUCC